rfam:Burkholderia pseudomallei strain K96243, chromosome 1, complete sequence.
CACUUAACAUUUACAUGGUUUGCACGCCCGAUUCUCGCAGGGUUUGUUCGUGUGCCAAAGGUAGCCGGUUGCCGCGUGACGAAGGGAACAAAACGACGAAAGAGGCGAGGCCCGUGAUGCGGCCGACGAAGAUGGCGUUCGUGCUGGCGCUCGCAUGCGCCGGCUUCCUUGCUUCGGACUUCGCCUGCGCGCAGCGCCCGGAACGCGGCGCACCGCCGUCGCAC